rnacentral:rRNA from 1 species
AUUGAGCGCUGGCGGCAUGCCUUACACAUGCAAGUCGAACGGCAGCAUGAUCUAGCUUGCUAGAUUGAUGGCGAGUGGCGAACGGGUGAGUAAUACAUCGGAACGUGCCCUGUAGUGGGGGAUAACUAGUCGAAAGAUUAGCUAAUACCGCAUACGACCUGAGGGUGAAAGUGGGGGACCGCAAGGCCUCAUGCUAUAGGAGCGGCCGAUGUCUGAUUAGCUAGUUGGUGAGGUAAAGGCUCACCAAGGCGACGAUCAGUAGCUGGUCUGAGAGGACGAUCAGCCACACUGGGACUGAGACACGGCCCAGACUCCUACGGGAGGCAGCAGUGGGGAAUUUUGGACAAUGGGCGAAAGCCUGAUCCAGCAAUGCCGCGUGUGUGAAGAAGGCCUUCGGGUUGUAAAGCACUUUUGUCCGGAAAGAAAUGGCUCUGGUUAAUACCUGGGGUCGAUGACGGUACCGGAAGAAUAAGAACCGGCUAACUACGUG